rnacentral:rRNA from 1 species
UACGAAGGGGACUAGCGUUGUUCGGAAUUACUGGGCGUAAAGCGCGCGUAGGCGGAUCGCUAAGUCAGGGGUGAAAUCCCAGGGCUCAACCCUGGAACUGCCUUUGAUACUGACGAUCUGGAGAUCGGGAGAGGUUGGUGGAAUUCCGAGUGUAGAGGUGAAAUUCGUAGAUAUUCGGAGGAACACCAGAAGCGAAGGCGGCCAACUGGCCCGAUACUGACGCUGAGGCGCGAAAGCGUGGGGAGCGAACAGG